GACCCUAGCCUGGGAACCUCCACAUGCCACGUGAGCAGCCCUAGAAAUGGCAAAAAAAAAAAAAAGCCAAAAAAAAAAACAACCAAAAAAACUAUAAAACCAUAAAUUAAAGCAUGAGAUAUGCCUUAGGGUAUUAAGUGAAAGAUAAAAUGAAGACGGCAUUCAAGUCCAGCAAGAUAAUGACCCUUAGGACCAAGGACAGGAAUUUAAGGGAAAGAUGAUAUUCCAAAGUAGCAGACCCUCAUUACAAGGAAACCUGUGGUGAUUCAACAGAUUUUAGCAUAUGUUACCCCCCUUCUGCUGAUUCGAAUAAGCACCAUGACAGUCCUAGUUUGACCUCGUAGGUCAAAUGCUCUCCUAUCUGAUAUGAAGGAGGAGCUAAUGAUGUAAGCCUGACACCUACUCGAGGAAGAAGGUGGUCUUUUCCCACUUUUCUUGGAUUAUAAAAAUGUAACCCACCUAAUUCUUGGGACAGAGCUUCUUUGACUGCCUGCUUGUAUCUCUCACAAGCAUCCUAUCUUAAUAAAUCUAUUUCUUGCCUAUCACUUUGUCUCUCACUGAAUUCCUCCUGUGCUGAGACACAAAGAACCCAAACCUCAGUAAGUCCACACUGAUUCUAAUUUAAAAAACUGUGGGUUCAAGUUCCAAUCUAGGUUCAAUCAAGUUCCUGCUAGGUUCAAGUCAAAAAUGUUGUUAGUUCAGAAGUGUAAGCAGGAGUUCCUGUCAUGGCGCAGUGGUUAACAAAUCCGACUAGGAACCAUGAGGUUGCGGGUUCGAUCCCUGGCCUUGCUCAGGAUGCUAGUUGGGUUCGUUAACUGCUGAGCCACGACAGGAACUGCAAAGAGUUACCUCUUUUAAGUCAGGAAGAUACACACUAAGGUCUGUCUUCCACACCCAGACAACCCAGGCCAGGCUUCCAUAUUUGGAGCCUGUUUUGGACUCACUGCCUCCAGUCUCUACUUUCUAAUCCAUAUUCUAGAUUGUGGACAGAAAUAACUUUGAAAAAUCUGCCUGCUUGAAAAUCUCCAAGGCCCCCAGCUGCCUCCAGAAUAAAGUAGUUCCCCUGCUGGGCAGCCACUUCCCAAUCUCUUGCCCACGCCCCCUAAGGUCCAGCUUCUGCUGGAUCACCCUGUGCCCUGAACAGGGUGCACUUUCACACCUCACUGUUAUUAUUAGCCCCUUCCUGUCCCUCUCCCUGCAAUGGCCUUGUCUUACCUUCCUUCUCCAUCUGGCAAAUGGCUUGCCUCCAAAGCCCAGUUCAAAUGUCACUGUGCUCCCUCAGCUUUCUGACUCACAGUAGCAUUUAUUACUCCACUCGCUUGACCGCCCUCCUCCAUGGCACCCGGUGCCCCAAAGCAUAUUAAACUACUUACCGUCAAGUACAAUACAUAUAUCUAUACAGCUUGAUCCUCUUCCCCAUGGAGGCAAGGACAAAAAUCAUUUCUUACCAUCUUUGUUCCCAGAGGCCCUGGUAUACAGCAAAUGCCCUAAAUGUUUUAGAAGAAACAGAUGCAGUCAUGUGCAAAGGAACUCUGCUCACACAGCACUACUAUCAGUGACGAUCUCAUUAUGUGGGUAAUUGCACUAGCUGGCUUCAAAUUCCUUCUACACACAUGAUUUCCUGUGAUCUACACUGCCCCUUUAUAGUGAAGUAGAGAAUAACUCUUGUUCCCCUGAAGAAAAUCAAAGGGGGCAUACAGCAACCCCAAAUUCCACCAGAGAACCUUUGCUUUUCUCUCCUGUCAACAAAGAAAGUUUUGUUUGGGCAGGGGAAAUGGCUGUGUAGCUAGAACUAUAGUCAGAAGCACUGUUCUAGGUGCCCUCCUCCUUUAUGAUCCCGUGCCUAAAUAUCUAUCUGUAAGCACAUCUUCCUAACUGGUUUUCCAGCCUCAAGUCUUUUCCUCCUCCAUCCAGCUUGCAUGUUUACUGCCAGAUGAAAAUUUUUAAAAUAGCAUUUGACUUACAUGUUAACUUUAUGUUAGUUAUGAAACAUAACUGUAUAAUAAAUAUAACCAACCAAGCAUCUAGCCCUGCAACUAGAACAGUAACAGUAGCUUGUGUCUGUGUGUACAUAACACAUAUGUCAGUUCCUUGCCUAUAUCUGGAGCUAACUGCUAUCUUUCGUUUUGAGUAUUUUUAUUUUACUUUUUAAGAACAUAUUUAUUAAAAGGGAAAGGGAGGAGGGACAAAUUAGGAGAAUGAGAUGAACAGAUACAAACUACUAUACAUAAAAUAGAUAAGCAAUAAGGAAUUACGGUACAGCACCAGGAACUAUAUUCAGUAGCUUGUAAUAACCUAUAAUGGAAAAAAGUGAAAUGUCACAUUGCUGUACACCUGAAACUAACACAAUCUUACAAACUGGUCACACCUCAAUAAAAAUGGUUUUAUUACAUACCUGAAUAUCACUGAUUUUGCUGAUCCAGGGAAUCCAUAAAGAUAGUAUGAUACUGUGUAUAUCAACUGGUACCUGCUAUUUCACUGUGUUGUGAAUCUAAGAUUCAUCCCUGUUGAUGAACUUGGUUAUUUUGUUGUUACAUAGUAUUCCACUGUGUGCCAUACCACAGUU
rnacentral:lncRNA from 1 species